rnacentral:rRNA from 1 species
UACGUAGGCAGCGAGCGUUGUUCGGAGUUACUGGGCGUAAAGGGUGUGUAGGCGGUUGUUUAAGUUUGGUGUGAAAUCUCCCGGCUCAACUGGGAGGGUGCGCCGAAUACUGAAUGACUUGGAGUGCGGGAGAGGAGAGUGGAAUUCCUGGUGUAGCGGUGAAAUGCGUAGAUAUCCGGAGGAACACCAGUGGCGAAAGCGGCCACCUGGACUGUACCUGACGCUGAAACGCGAAAGCUAGGGGAGCGAACGGG